GAUGAACGCUGGCGGCGUGCCUAAUACAUGCAAGUCGAGCGAACGGACGAGAAGCUUGCUUCUCUGAUGUUAGCGGCGGACGGGUGAGUAACACGUGGAUAACCUACCUAUAAGACUGGGAUAACUUCGGGAAACCGGAGCUAAUACCGGAUGAUAUUUUGAACCGCAUGGUUCAAAAGUGAAAGACGGUCUUGCUGUCCCUUAUAGAUGGAUCCGCGCUGCAUUAGCUAGUUGGUAAGGUAACGGCUUACCAAGGCAACGAUGCAUAGCCGACCUGAGAGGGUGAUCGGCCACGCUGGAACUGAGACACGGUCCAGACUCCUACGGGAGGCAGCAGUAGGGAAUCUUCCGCAAUGGGCGAAAGCCUGACGGAGCAACGCCGCGUGAGUGAUGAAGGUCUUCGGAUCGUAAAACUCUGUUAUUAGGGAAGAACAUAUGUGUAAGUAACUGUGCACAUCUUGACGGUACCUAAUCAGAAAGCCACGGCUAACUACGUG
rnacentral:rRNA from 1 species